rnacentral:lncRNA from 1 species
GCCACUUGUGUGAGAUACUAAUACAAGGAUGUGGGUACUUAUUAAAGAAUGAGUUCACUGAAUUGAUCCGACUUAAGAAACAUCUUAUGAAAUUUACUUAUCCAUCAAAAGAUGUUUUCUUAUUAUGGGAGUUGUGUAUAUAAUCCUUUGACCUGAAACUACCAUCAAACCUUGUAUACAUGAAUCUAUAUUUUGGUUCAUACUCAUUCAUAAUUUAGUCAUGUACGGAGUGAU